AGCGAAGUUGUGUCAAAACUUCUCUCAGAGGUAAAGAAGCCGCCUCUAUGGCACCACUCAUAAUGAUAGAAGUCUCUGCAGGGGCGUCUGUCUCAUCGGCACCAAGUUCACGACCUCGUUUUCUGGUAGCAUUGCCAGAAUUCGCUGCUUUCACAUCAGAUUUGAUCAUGGGGGGUGAUCUGGUCAUUUGCUUUGCAAUCCGACUCAUGCGCUCUCCUACUU
rnacentral:misc_RNA from 1 species